rnacentral:rRNA from 1 species
CCUACGGGCGGCACCAGUGGGGAAUAUUGCACAAUGGGCGCAAGCCUGAUGCAGCCAUGCCGCGUGUAUGAAGAAGGCCAUCGGGUUGUAAAGUACUUUCAGCGAAGAGGAAGGCGUUAAGGUUAAUAACCUUGGCGAUUGACGUUACUCGCAGAAGAAGCACCGGCUAACUCCGUGCCAGCAGCCGCGGUAAUACGGAGGGUGCAAGCGUUAAUCGGAAUUACUGGGCGUAAAGCGCACGCAGGCGGUCUGUCGAGUCGGAUGUGAACUCCCCGGGCUCAACCUGGGAACUGCAUUCGAAACUGGCAGGCUAGAGUCUUGUAGAGGGGGGUAGAAUUCCAGGUGUAGCGGUGAAAUGCGUAGAGAUCUGGAGGAAUACCGGUGGCGAAGGCGGCCCCCUGGACAAAGACCGACGCUCAGGUGCGAAAGCGUGGGGAGCAAACAGGAUUAGAUACCCGAGUAGUC